rnacentral:lncRNA from 1 species
CCAGCGGAGGUAUCUGUGAGUGGUGGUUCCCCAAACAGAGUCGGGAUGUAUAUCCCCAGCAAGUCAAAGACUGUUGUUUCCCCCACAGAGAGCGUUGGUGGUUCAAGAGUCGGGAUGUAUAUCCCCAGCAAGUCAAAGACUGUUGUUUCCCCCACAGAGAGCGUUGGUGGUUCUUAUCCCCAGCGAUAUCCCCAAGCGGAUCGGGGGGCAAAGGAGGUUUUCCCCAGCAAGG